AGAGUUUGAUCCUGGCUCAGGAUGAACGCUGGCGGCGUGCCUAACACAUGCAAGUCGAACGAAGAGGUCCCUUCGGGGAUACUUCAGUGGCGGACGGGUGAGUAACACGUAGGUGACCUGCCCCGAAGUGUGGAAUAACAGUCCGAAAGGAUUGCUAAUACCGCAUGUGGUCUGUGAGGUUAGAGUCUUGCAGACUAAAGCAGUAAUGUGCUUCGGGAGGGGCCUGCGCCCCAUCAGCUAGUUGGUAGGGUAAUGGCCUACCAAGGCAACAACGGGUAGGGGGCCUGAGAGGGUGACCCCCCACAUUGGCACUGACACACGGGCCAAACUCCUACGGGAGGCAGCAGUGAGGAAUAUUGCUCAAUGGGCGAAAGCCUGAAGCAGCAACGCCGCGUGCGCGAUGAAGGCCUUCGGGUCGUAAAGCGCUUUUGAGAGGGACGAGAUAGGACGGUACCUCUCGAAUAAGUCACGGCUAACUACGUGCCAGCAGCCGCGGUAAAACGUAGGUGGCAAGCGUUAUCCGGAUUCACUGGGCGUAAAGCGCGUGCAGGUGGCUUCGUAAGUUGGACGUUAAAUCUCCCGGCCUAACCGGGAGGAGUCGUUCAAUACUGCGGGGCUGGAGGGCAGAAGAGGGGGGGUGGAAUUGCUGGUGUAGUGGUGAAAUGCGUAGAUAUCAGCAGGAACACCCGUGGCGAAAGCGGCCCCCUGGUCUGCUCCUGACACUCAGACGCGAAAGCUAGGGGAGUGAACGGGAUUAGAAACCCCGGUAAUCCUAGCCGUAAACGAUGGAUGCUAGGUGUGGGUGGUAUUGACCCCAUCCGUGCCGAAGCUAACGCGUUAAGCGCCCCGCCUGGGGAGUACGGCCGCAAGGCUAAAACUCAAA
rnacentral:rRNA from 1 species